rnacentral:rRNA from 1 species
UACGUAGGGGGCUAGCGUCGUCCGGAUUUAUUGGGCGUAAAGAGCGUGUAGGCGGCCAGGUAGGUCUGGUGUGAAAACUCGAGGCUUAACCUCGAGAUGUCAUCGGAAACCAUCUGGCUAGAGUCCGGAAGAGGAGAGUGGAAUUCCUGGUGUAGCGGUGAAAUGCGCAGAUAUCAGGAAGAACACCAAUGGCGAAAGCAGCUCUCUGGGACGGUACUGACGCUGAGACGCGAAAGCGUGGGGAGCGAACAGG